rnacentral:rRNA from 1 species
UGGCCCAGGGAGGUCGGCAACGACCACCCAGGGCCGGAAAGUUGGUCAAACUCGGUCAUUUAGAGGAAGUAAAAGUCGUAACAAGGUCUCCGUAGGUGAACCUGCGGAGGGAUCAUU